CUACGGGUCGCAGCAGCUAAGGAUAUUUUACAAUGCGCGAAAGCGUGAUAGAGCAAGUCAGAGUGUUUCUCAAUUAUGAGAGACUUUUGCCAACUGUAAAUAGGUUGGCGAAUAAGGACUGGGCAAGACUGGUGCCAGCCGCCGCGGUAAUACCAGCGGUCCAAGUCGCAGCCACAUUUAUUGGGUCUAAAACAUUCGUAGCUUGUUUUGUAAGUCUCUUGUGAAAUUCUAGUUCUCAAGACUAGAGCGGGCAGGAGAUACUGCAGAACUAGAGACCAGAGGAUGUAAGGAGUACAGUUAGGGUAGUGGUUAAAUACGUUAAUCCUAACUGGACUAACAAUAGCGAAGGCACCUUACAACGACGGAUCUGACAGUGAGGGAUGAAGGCCAGGGUCGCAAAACGGAUUAGAUACCCCUGUAGUC
rnacentral:rRNA from 1 species